GACGAACGCUGACGGCGUGCCUAACACAUGCAAGUCAAGGGGCCUUCGGGUCACUGGCGCACGGGUGAGUAACGCGUAGAUUAUCUACCCAUAUCUCUGACAUAACUGCUGGAAACGGUAGCUAAUAUCAGAUGAGGCCUACGGGUCAAAGUUUUAAUGGAUAUGGAUGAGUCUGCGUCUGAUUAGCUAGUUGGUAGUGUAAUGGACUACCAAGGCUACGAUCAGUAACUGGUCUGAGAGGACGAUCAGUCACACUGGAACUGAGACACGGUCCAGACUCCUACGGGAGGCAGCAGUGAGGAAUAUUGCGCAAUGGGCGAAAGCCUGACGCAGCCACGCCGCGUGUGCGAUGAAGGUCUUCGGAUCGUAAAGCACUGUGGGGGGAGAAGAACAAAGCCGGUGAAGAGCCGGCCCUGACGGUAUCCCCUUAGCAAGCACCGGCUAACUCCGUGCCAGCAGCCGCGGUAAUGUAGACGU
rnacentral:rRNA from 1 species